CACAAACUUAAAAACAUUGAGAAUUACUGCUUUAGAUUAAAAUGUCACAGAAGAGGACCAGACUAGACUUAUUGGACCCAGCACUGGAGAAUUUACAGGAAGACAUUGAACUUAAUUGCUAUAUGCUCUGAAUAUAAAUUCAGCCAAUUUUGUCCUAAGAUUUGAAAUAGCUCAACUGGAAUUCUAUCACCUCCACUACCUCUGUUCAUAGUGAUGCUUCCUGAGGCCCACUUGACUUCACACUCCAGGUUAUCUGACUCAAAUUCAAGCAUCAUUUUUCAGCUCAUGAAUAAUUUAUUUAUUUAAGCCACCACCUCUCAUAAGCAAAGUGAUGCAAUAUAAGCACAAUGCUCAUCAAGUAUAAUAACCAUCACUGCAAACAAGAUGCUUCCUGCAGCUUACCUUCUGGGCAAGUGGAUAAAGAACUGCUUGAAGACAUGAUGGCUAUUUCUGAUUUUCUGACUUGUGUGAGUUAUUUAAGUUAAGAAGAAAGUUCAGAAG
rnacentral:lncRNA from 1 species